rnacentral:lncRNA from 1 species
CUUUAUAGUUUCACGCAAUGCACGUUACCCUCCGUGUCAGCCUUCAUGAUUGUUGAUUCUGUGUUUCUGAGAAUAAGGCUGCAGCACAUGCAGUCCAUGAUGACCCUGAAGACCUCAUCACCAUGGCAACAACAGUUACUUCUCAAACAAUCUGUGGUUGAAGUGACUGAAAACAGCAGAACAUUUUCAGGAGGAGAAGAAAGAAAAGUCUGCAGUCAUGAUGGAUGAUGACAGAGAAACUUCUAGUUUUUCAGCUCAACGUUUGGAGGCGGAGCUCCAGAGAUGCAGACUCCGCUGUAAGAAGCUGAGCUCUGAGAACAGCCUGCUGUCAGCUCUGAGCUGCAGGCUGGAGGAGGACCGGAAGGACGUGGAGCGCUUCCUGCCGCACCACUCCGCUGAGUUGGAGGAGCAGCUGCAGGAGCUGCAGGAGCGGCUGAAGCUGCAGCAGCUCGCCCACACGCAGGAGCUGCAGGAGCUGAAGCUGCAGCUGCACCAGGAGAAGCUGCAGCUCCAGGAGAGGACGGAGCUGCUGAGCUCUGAGGUCACACAGCAAGCUGCAAGAGUGAAGGAGCAGCAGGAGGAGCUGAAGCAGCAGCUGAAGCAGCAGCUGCCCAGCGUGGAGCAGCUGCUCCAACUAAGAUCUAAACUCCAGUCUGCUGACCUACAGCUGAGUUUGGAUCAGAUACAACAUGAAGAAGAGGAGACGGAGAACACCAACAGGCUCCUGGAGAACCAGCUGUCAGAGAUGAUGGAAGAGAAGAAGGAGGAGCUGAGGGAGCUGAAGGAGGAGUCGACGCUCCUGCUGGAGCAGAACAAGGCUCUGUUCAAGGAGAAAGAGGUUCUCCAGCUCUCUCUGGGGAACCUCUGCCAUGAUGUGGAUGAAGUGAAGGCCAACAUGAAGCAGGACUCUCUGCAGGUCCUCAGUCUCACAAAGGACGUGGAGGAGCUGCGCAGGAGACUGCAGCAGCUGCAGAGCAAGCAGGAGGUCAGGACGCUACUGAGCACGCUCCAACUGGAGGACACGCCCAGAGAGAAUGUCGUCUCAUCCAUGAAGCAUCAGCAUCAAACAGCCCCCCCAGCUGUGGUGGGGGCUCAGCAGCAGAGAAGGACUGAAGCCUUCGAGAGGAAACGACCUCAGACUACAGAGACCCCCCCUCCAACAAACAUGACGAACUCUCACAGAACACCACGAGCCCAGAUCUACGAGCAGAAGCUGUUGGAGAUUCUGCAAAGACGAGACCAUCAGAGUCCUUCAGGCUGACCCGGACCCUGCAGUCUGGUUCUGGAGGACGAAUCUUUCCAAUAAAUCUGCACAUCUGCAGCUGCAGACCGGACUCUUGAAUCCACUCAUCUCUCAUGGACAAUCGAGGCUAAAACGAUCAGAGACUUUAUUUUGUUUCAAACUUAAUUUUCCUUUUUUUUUAAAUAAACUUGAUGAGUCACAAUUAAUGUUUACCAGAAAUCAGAUUUUCCUCUUGACAUUUGUAGAGAUUUUGAUGAAGGUCAAGGUGUUGUCGGCUCAGAUCGACCUGAUAAUGCAAGGAUGUAGCAAAUCAUUAGAGGAGUGCAAUACUUGAUUUAGAAAUAUUACUUUCUUAUUUUUAGUGCUAAAAGUAGCUUGUAAAUAUGCUUUCUUAAUCUUUGUCUACAUUUAUACUAAUAUUGACUCAAAAAUUUGAAGGAAAGAAACUAUUUUUUGGGAAGGGGGGGGUGCAGCUUCAUAGUUCUGCCACUUUAUUAACACAUUUUAUCCAUAUUUUAAAAAACAUCAAUGAUAAACCAGCUUUUCCUCAGCAUGGUGAAACCAGUGAUUAUUGUUGCAUCAAAUGAAUGACACUAAGCAGAGUGGCAGAGAUUCUUCAACAUGGAAAAGUAGUAAAAACAGCAGAAAGUUCAGGGGAAGCAGUUACGAUGAAGGGAUGAACAUUUUUAAAAAGUUUUGAUGUGAAUAAAGUGAGACUUUAGUCAUCCAUUUCCUGAAGUUGAGGCUUGAGAUUACUGCUAAAUCUGAGACUAGACUAGAGCUGGAACAUUGUUCAGUGUAUUUCUGAUUGUUGUUCUUGAAUCUUAGAGGCAGUUUGUGCAUGGCUGCUUCUGGGCGGAGCUCCUCUGUUGAAAGAUCCUUAACGGUCUGGAGGAGCUUUUGCUUUCACUUCUUUGUGAAGAUGGAGACAGCAUUUCUGUUUAAGGCCUAAAUCUUGAACAAAUGAGGAAAUGAUUUGAUGUUAGCAGAUGGAGGAUCCUGAUCAUCAAUUAUUGAGCACAGAGAAUUCAAAGCUGAUUAUUGAUUAAUUUUUACUUUUCCAGGUGAGUUUCUGAUCAAUCUUUUAUAGAUUUUAGCUGCAGACAUUUUCUUUCAGCUGCUUCAAAAGACCCCAUAGAACAAAUGAA